rnacentral:rRNA from 1 species
UCCAACCCUAAAUACUACUACCAGAUCGAUAGCGAACAAGUACCGUGAGGGAAAGGUGAAAAGAACGGCGGUGAGCCGAGUGAAAUAGAACCUGAAACCAUUUGCUUACAAUCAUUCAGAGCCCUAUAGUGAGUCCCUUUGAGAAAUCACGGGGGGGGGGGGGUAACUCUUUGUUAUCUCUCCCUUUCCGCCCUUGUUUUCUCUUAUCUUUUUUUGGUAAGGAGAAUAUUAUGGGAAGUUAUGAGCCUCAAUACACGGAUGACGAAAUUGCCAGCUAUGUCCCAGACCAUAAGGAUGUGUCAGAGUUAAGUGAUUAUGAGCGAGAGGAAAUUGAGAAACAGAAAACUCGUGAUGAUUACCUAGAAGACGAAUGGUAUAAGGAGGAUAGCGAUGAGUAGCAGUUCGUUGUUAAGGAGUAUGGAGCGUAUAGACAACUUAGACCUUGAACCUAUAAUUGUUAAGAUUAUGGAUAAAGUAGAGGGUAAAGGUUGGGAAUUGAGUUAUACGCAAUUAAUUGAAGCUGAGUAUCGUAAGUUUUUGUUGCUUAUGCUUAAAUAUCCAAAUGAAGCAAUUGUGCCACCACAACAAGUGGAUGAGUUUUGGCAUUAUCACAUACUUGAUACUAUGAAGUAUGAGAAAGAUUGUAAGGAUAUUUUUGGUUAUUUUGUGCAUCAUUUUCCGUAUUUUGGAAUGCGAGGGAAAGAUGAUGAAAGUAACUUGAAAACUGCGUGGAAUAGGACUUGUGAACUUUAUAUAUAUUCUUUUGGAGAACCAACAGAAUAUAUAAGGAAACACAUUUGGACAUCUGCAGGUAGAUGCCCAAAUUGUGGUAGGAGAUCCCCCGAAGCGAAUGUAAAAUUUGCUUACGAUGCAAGACCUACAAUUAGUGUGUGUUAAUUUUUUUCUACUAACUAUGUCAAGCAUAGUUAGUGUCUUUGAUUUUUCAAAGGGAUUCACUGGUGUGAUGGACUGCCUUUUGCAUAAUGAGCCUGCGAGUUGUGGUGUCUGGCAAGGUUAAGCUAACGCGAAGCCGUAGCGAAAGCGAGUCUGAAUAGGGCGCUAAGUCAGAUGCUGCAGACCCGAAACGAAGUGAUCUAUCCAUGAGCAGCUUGAAGCUAGUGUAAGAACUAGUGGAGGAGCGAACCCGCUAGCGUUGAAAAGCUAUGGGAUGACUUGUGGAUAGGGGUGAAAGGCCAAUCAAACUUCGUGAUAGCUGGUUCUCUCCGAAAUAUAUUUAGGUAUAGCGUUGUGUCGUAACAUAAGGGGGUAGAGCACUGAAUGGGCUAGGGCAUACACCAAUGUACCAAACCCUAUCAAACUCCGAAUACCUUAUGUGUAAUCACAGCAGUCAGGCGGCGAGUGAUAAAAUCCGUCGUCAAGAGGGAAACAACCCAGACUACCCGCUAAGGUCCCCAAAUCUUACUUAAGUGGAAAACGAUGUGAAGUUACUUAAACAACCAGGAGGUUGGCUUAGAAGCAGCCAUCCUUUAAAGAAAGCGUAAUAGCUCACUGGUCUAGUGAUUUUGCGCGGAAAAUAUAACGGGGCUAAAGUAAGUACCGAAGCGGUAGGCUUGUGCUUAAUCAAAUUCUUUAAGAUGAGGGCAAAAACCCUAAGGAAUUUAAGAAAGUUAAGAAAGCUAAGAAGUUAAAAUACAAAUUUUUACUUUAAAUUUAAGGCUUUAACUUUAGGCUUUAACUUUUAAAUUUGAAUUUCAAAAAAACUUAACUUUGAAACUUAAAUUUGAAAGAAAAAGAAUUUAAAUUUGAAAUUUCAAAAAAAAAAAAAAAAAAAAUAACUUUCAAAAAUAAAUUUAAAUUCCUUAAAUUCAAAGCUUCUUUCAAAAAAGUCAAGAAAUGAAGAAGUCAAAAAGAAAAAAUUCCACUAAAGAAUUUGCUUAAGCGCAAGCGGUAGGAGAGCGUUCUAUUUGCGCCGAAGGUAUACCGGUAAGGAGUGCUGGAGCGGAUAGAAGUGAGCAUGCAGGCAUGAGUAGCGAUAAUUAAUGUGAGAAUCAUUAACGCCGUAAACCCAAGGUUUCCUACGCGAUGCUCGUCAUCGUAGGGUUAGUCGGGUCCUAAGCUGAGUCCGAAAGGGGUAGGCGAUGGCAAAUAGGUUAAUAUUCCUAUACCAACAUUAGUGUGCGAUGGAAGGACGCUUAGGGCUAGGGGGGCUAGCGGAUGGAAGUGCUAGUCUAAGGUCGUAGGUGCUUAUACAGGCAAAUCCGUGUAAGAAUACACCGAGAGCUGAAAGGCUUUUCAAAGUCUUCGGAUAGCGAGAAGAACCCCUGAUGCCGUCGAGCCAAGAAAAGUUUCUAAGUUUAGCUAAUGUUGCCCGUACCGUAAACCGACACAGGUGGGUGGGAUGAGUAUUCUAAGGCGCGUGGAAGAACUCUCUUUAAGGAACUCUGCAAAAUAGCACCGUAUCUUCGGUAUAAGGUGUGCCUCCCUUUGUAUUAGAAUUUACUUCGAAAGCAAAGAAGGUUACAACAAAGAGUCCCUCCCGACUGUUUACCAAAAACACAGCACUCUGCUAACUCGUAAGAGGAUGUAUAGGGUGUGACGCCUGCCCGGUGCUCGAAGGUUAAUUGAUGGGGUUAGCAUUAGCGAAGCUCUUGAUCGAAGCCCGAGUAAACGGCGGCCGUAACUAUAACGGUCCUAAGGUAGCGAAAUUCCUUGUCGGUUAAAUACCGACCUGCAUGAAUGGCGUAACGAGAUGGGAGCUGUCUCAAAGAGGGAUCCAGUGAAAUUGUAGUGGAGGUGAAAAUUCCUCCUACCCGCGGCAAGACGGAGAGACCCCGUGGACCUUUACUACAGCUUGACACUGCUAUUUGGAUAAGAAUGUGCAGGAUAGGUGGGAGGCUUUGAGUGUAUGACGCCAGUUGUAUAUGAGCCAUUGUUGAGAUACCACUCUUUCUUAUUUGGGUAGCUAACCAGCUUGAGUUAUCCUCAAGUGGGACAAUGUCUGGUGGGUAGUUUGACUGGGGCGGUCGCCUCCCAAAUAAUAACGGAGGCUUACAAAGGUUGGCUCAGAACGGUUGGAAAUCGUUUGUAGAGUAUAAAGGUAUAAGCCAGCUUAACUGCAAGACAUACAAGUCAAGCAGAGACGAAAGUCGGUCUUAGUGAUCCGGUGGUUCUGUGUGGAAGGGCCAUCGCUCAAAGGAUAAAAGGUACCCCGGGGAUAACAGGCUGAUCUCCCCCAAGAGCUCACAUCGACGGGGAGGUUUGGCACCUCGAUGUCGGCUCAUCGCAUCCUGGGGCUGGAGCAGGUCCCAAGGGUAUGGCUGUUCGCCAUUUAAAGCGGUACGCGAGCUGGGUUCAGAACGUCGUGAGACAGUUCGGUCCCUAUCUGCCGUGGGCGUAAGAAGAUUGAAGAGAUUUGACCCUAGUACGAGAGGACCGGGUUGAACAAACCACUGGUGUAGCUGUUGUUCUGCCAAGAGCAUCGCAGCGUAGCUAAGUUUGGAAAGGAUAAACGCUGAAAGCAUCUAAGCGUGAAGCCAACUCUAAGAUGAAUCUUCUCUAAGCUCUCUAGAAGACGACUAGUUUGAUAGGCUGGGUGUGUAAUAGAUGAAAGUCUUUUAGCUGACCAGUACUAAUAGAGCGUUUGGCUUAUCUUU